GCCAAGCUGUAAACACUGACACACUCUUUCUUUGUCCGCCAGAGAAUAACGAGCCAAAGCUUAAAACCCAAAGGACUUGGCGGCGCUUCACACACCCUAGAGGGGCCUGUCACAUAAUCGAUAACCCACGAUAAACCUCACCACUUUUAGCCCAUUAGCCUAUAUACCGCCGUCGCCAGCCCAUCCCGAUAGGAAAGAAAAAUGGACCCAAUAGUCUCUACACUAGCACGACAGGUCAAGGUGUAGCUUAUAAAGUGGCAAAUGAUGGACCACAUUGCUUUUUCCAGCCAUACUCGAACUGCCCUGAAACACGCACUUUAAAGGUGAAUUUAACAGUAAGUUGGGCAAGAAAACCCACCUAAAGAAUGCUCUGAAGCGUGC
rnacentral:rRNA from 1 species